UACGGGGGGGGGCAAGCGUUGUUCGGAAUUACUGGGCGUAAAGGGCUCGUAGGUGGCCAACUAAGUCAGACGUGAAAUCCCUCGGCUUAACCGGGGAACUGCGUCUGAUACUGGAUGGCUUGAGUUUGGGAGAGGGAUGCGGAAUUCCAGGUGUAGCGGUGAAAUGCGUAGAUAUCAGGAGGAACACCGGUGGCGAAGGCGGGAUCCUGGGCCAGUACUGACGCUGAGGCGCGAAAGCGUGGGGAGCAAACAGG
rnacentral:rRNA from 1 species